GCUGACACAUCCCGGCCAAUCUCCAGCAGACCCUCCCUCCCAGACCCUUCCACCUCCUGGAGAGCAUCCAUGUUGAAACAUGGAUGCUGUCCAGGAGGUGGGAGGGUCUGGGAGGGAGGGUCUGCUGGAGAUUGGCUGGGAUGAGUCAG